CCGAUGAAGGACGUUACUAACGACGAUAUGCUUUGGGGAGCUGUAAGUAAGCUUUGAUCCAGAGAUUUCCGAAUGGGGAAACCCAGCAUGAGUUAUGUCAUGUUAUCGAUAUGUGAAUACAUAGCAUAUCAGAAGGCACACCCGGAGAACUGAAACAUCUUAGUACCCGGAGGAAGAGAAAGAAAAUUCGAUUCCCUUAGUAGCGGCGAGCGAAACGGGAAGAGCCCAAACCAACAAGCUUGCUUGUUGGGGUUGUAGGACACUCUAUACGGAGUUACAAAGGACGACAUUAGACGAAUCAUCUGGAAAGAUGAAUCAAAGAAGGUAAUAAUCCUGUAGUCGAAAAUGUUGUCUCUCUUGAGUGGAUCCUGAGUACGACGGAGCACGUGAAAUUCCGUCGGAAUCUGGGAGGACCAUCUCCUAAGGCUAAAUACUCUCUAGUGACCGAUAGUGAACCAGUACCGUGAGGGAAAGGUGAAAAG
rnacentral:rRNA from 1 species